rnacentral:lncRNA from 1 species
CGGUCCAGAGCGCGCGAAGCCUACCCGCCCUGGGAGCAGAGGUCCUGGAGCGGCACCAGCAGCUGCCAAAGGGCAUCUUGCGAGGCGAGGGCUGGCGAGGUCCUGCGCAGACUUAGGAGACACGGCUGGACUCGUGACUCGGCUGCAGGUGACGCCAGGGAGACUCAGUACGCACUCCGAGGCGCAGUCCCGGGCUGGCCCGGCGCCGCUGGGCAGAGGUCAUGUGAUGAACUUGGGUGUAUUGCAGUGUGUUCACAGUGGUGCCAAGGGCCCCAGAGAUGAAACCACAGCAGAAACAAUCAAAGUAUCCAUGUGUACCUGGUGAGGAAAGAAAAAUAGCACUGGGAACUAUAU